rnacentral:rRNA from 1 species
UCUUGUGGCCAAACCUCCAUGCCAAAGCCGGAUCUCAGAAGUUAAGCAGGGCUGGGCCUGGUUAGUAUCUGGAUGGGUAUAUCAAAAACUGUCCUUGUAUUCUUAAGUAAGGCGCUUCAACCA